UACGUAGGGUGCAAGCGUUGUCCGGAAUUAUUGGGCGUAAAGAGCUCGUAGGCGGUUCGUCACGUCGGAUGUGAAAACCCGGGGCUUAACCCCGGGCCUGCAUUCGAUACGGGCUGACUAGAGUUCGGCAGGGGAGACUGGAAUUCCUGGUGUAGCGGUGGAAUGCGCAGAUAUCAGGAGGGACACCGGUGGCGAAGGCGGGUCUCUGGGCAUUACCUGACGCUGAGGAGCGAAAGUGUGGGGAGCGAACAGG
rnacentral:rRNA from 1 species